rnacentral:lncRNA from 1 species
AAAAUAUUCUAAUUAUAAUGAAAAAUUCGUAAGGGUUCCACGGAACCCGGUGUCUCGCCUACUUUUUCUGUUAAUCCCAGACUCAACAAAAAUGAGGAAAAACAUCAAUAAAAAUUUCCCUCACGAUACUGUCUUUUGAUUGAAAGAAGCUUCCAAGUUUGGUAAAAAAAUCCAGGAUAGUUUAUGAAUCUAAUAAAUGUUUUAUAAACUUUAACUGCAGACUGUAUGUAAUGUUAACUGGAAGAAAAACUAAGUCCAUUUAUAAGUAAAAU